rnacentral:rRNA from 1 species
UUGACCGUGCAAAGGUAGCGCAAUCACUUGUCUUUUAAAUAGAGACCUGUAUGAAUGGCUAAACGAGGGCUUAACUGUCUCCCAUUUCCAGUCAGUGAAAUUGAUCUGCCCGUGCAGAAGCGGACAUAAUAAUACAAGACGAGAAGACCCUUUGGAGCUUAAGGUACAAAAUACAACCACGUCAAACAACUCAUUAAAAAGCAAAAACUUCGUGGAAGAUGUAAUUUUACCUUCGGUUGGGGCGACCACGGAGGAUAAACAAACCUCCAAGUGGACUGGGAUAAAUUUUCCUAAAACCAAGAGAGACAUCUCUAAGCCACAGAACAUCUGACCAAACAUGAUCCGGCCACUUAAGACCGAUCAACGAACCAAGUUACCCUAGGGAUAACAGCGCAAUCCUCUCCCAGAGUCCAUAUCGACGAGAGGGUUUACGACCUCGAUGUUGGAUCAGGACAUCCUAAUGGUGCAGUUC